rnacentral:tRNA from 1 species
GCCGGCGUAGUUCAAUGGUAGAAUAAUUGCAUCGUAUGCAGCAGAUGGAGCGUUCAACUCCUCCCGCCGGCU